GGUGGCCUCGGGGGCCGGGAGGAGACGGGGCCGGAGGUUUCCAGUUGGGAGCAGCUCCCGACGUCCCUCCGGGGCCGCCUGGCUGGGGCUGAAGGACGAGGAAUUCCCGGGAUUGGGAUCCAA